GUCAGGGAAUUACAAGCAAAGCUUAAAACCCAAAGGACUUGACGGUGCCCCAUCUCCCCCUAGAGGAGCCUGUCCUAUAAUCGAUAAUCCCCGCUUAACCUCACCACAUCUAGCUUAUUCAGCCUGUAUACUUCCGUCGCAAGCCUACCACAUGAGCGAAAUCUAGUUGGCCCAAUGUUUACACAUAAAUAUAUUCACACCAGCAAUACGUCAGGUCAAAGUGCAGCAGACGAUGUGGGAUAAGAUUGGCUACACUUUUUAAUUUAAAAGAAACGGAAAACAAAAUGAAAUCUUUGUCAGAAGGUGGAUCUAGCAGUAAAAGAGAGAUAUCAAAUUUCUUUUAACCCGGCACUGGAGCGCGU
rnacentral:rRNA from 1 species